rnacentral:rRNA from 1 species
GACGAACGCUGGCGGCGUGCUUAACACAUGCAAGUCGAGCGGUAAGGCCCUUUCGGGGGUACACGAGCGGCGAACGGGUGAGUAACACGUGGGUGACCUGCCCUUAGCUCUGGGAUAAGCCUGGGAAACUGGGUCUAAUACCGGAUAUGACUCCAUGACGCAUGUUGUGGGGUGGAAAGCCUUGUGCGGCUAGGGAUGGGCCCGCGGCCUAUCAGCUUGGUUGGUGGGGUGAUGGCCUACCAAGGCGACGACGGGUAGCCGGCCUGAGAGGGCGACCGGCCACACUGGGACUGAGACACGGCCCAGACUCCUACGGGAGGCAGCAGUGGGGAAUCUUGCGCAAUGGGCGAAAGCCUGACGCAGCGACGCCGCGUGGGGA